rnacentral:ncRNA from 1 species
CGUACGAAACGGCAAAACCAUUGAAAGAUGGUGACGCAAAACUAUAGGGGCUAAUGUUUACCAACGAUGCUUGCCAGUUACCGAA